UUCUCUCGAGGGGAUUGGACCGGCAGGAGCAGGCUCCAGCCCAUAUGCCACAUUCCGAUCGGUGGCGCUGCUCCGCCGCCCAGCGCCUCUCCGCGCAGUCCGGCGGCCGCAUCGCCUCUCGGCCUCCGCGAAAGCUAUCCAAGACACGGCGAGAAGCAGCCAUUCUCGUGUUCAUCUCCCAGUUCACCACUCCCGCGUAGAACGGCAACUCGCAAACCCUAGCGAAUCUCCCGAUCUGCAGCCACCCGGCACGUGCCGGCGGCCGGAAUUGAACAGCGAUUCGGGAAUCUUACGAACCGGCGGUUGGCGGCCGGUGCUAGCGCAUAUGUUUCGACAAUCUACGACUCGGAGGCGAUGCCUUCCCACUCGUAGCAGGCCGUGCUGUUGUUACGCCACGACAUGGCGAGGCCGCCAUCUCACGACAGCCCAGAAAGGAAACGGAGGAGGCUGCGCUUCUCCUGCUCAGUGCAUGCGGUGGCGGGAGAGGCAAAGAAGAGCAGCAGGAACAACUGCAGCACUACCGGAGGAACAGUGAAUGAAUGCAUUGGCUGGCAUUUGGUAGGCAGGCCCAAAGGGGGCACCAACCUACUAAGGCUGCGUUCGGUCCGGAGGAAAACUCAAAGGAAUCUGAUCCUGUGCUAUUUUCUACCUUUGGUGCGUUCGGAGUGAAGGAAAAAUGAGCAGUAAAACUUUGGAAUGUCUCGAUUCCUGUGUGAUUCCUACAGAUUUCACGGGAAAAGAAACAUCCAGUCAGACCUCUUGUUUAUCGCGGUUGGCCGAGGCAACACACUGGUUCUGACGUCUAAUCCAAUAAAAUAUUCAUUAUAUGGCAUGGAGUGUGAGAGAGUCAAGUCUGCAGCCAAAUAAAAAACACCCAAGGUACGGGUCACAACUGAGGUGAUGUGCAGCUUCUUUUGAUCACCGCCGAACGGUUCACUCCUGACUAUUUCUCUGUUUAAAAUUCCUCAGUUUCAUAUGUGCUUGUUUUCCCUAUUCCUUUACAUUUUUUUGUUCCCAUGUUUUCUGAUCCUGCAAACCGAACAGAGCCUAAUGGUUGUAUUUUUCCCAUGGUUCAUGUCUAUGGUGGAUAUUCUACUCAUAAUUAUUAUGUGGGGUCAUUUCCCACCAGCUCUUUGACUCUUUGUAGCUGAUGAAACAUAUCCAUGAUUUCAGUUUGAAAAAUUCCUUAAUGGUUAUUUUUUCUGACUUGUAGCUAAUGAAUAAAUAUCCAUGAUUUCAGCUUGAAAAACCGCUUCAUGGUUUUGUUUUUCUCAUGCUUCCUGUCAGUUCCUCAGAAAUCAUAUUAAUGUCAUUUCCUUUGGGAGAAGUCCUGGAACAAAAGCAGAAUUAAAGGUACAUAUCACAUAUGCAUCAUCCAUCAAUGUAAUAUUUCAGUGGGCUAGACCACUGGAGGCUGGUGGUGUUGCCACAGUGAUCUGCGGAUGGCGUUGGCCGUUGGAUGGGCCAUUUUCGUUGUCUUGUGGGGGCUGAAGAGCCACAGCUUUGUUUCCCUUGAGAGUGUCUUCUCUCUCUGAUGUUGGUCUAUGCAUGACGGCCUAGGCAUCUACGCGACGGGCAGUGCCUCACAGUGGUAAUACUGCGGCGAAGUCAAAAUCCUCGGGUCAUGAUCACGACCUUGUAAAGCACGGUAAUUGCGAUGCUAAUAUAUAUGGGCUUUUUUUGUGAUUGUAAUAUGUUUGAUUGAAUAGGUUGACAUGUUAAAUAGAGUGCAAAAUCAAAGGAAAUUGAUUUGGGAUCACGGCCUCCGUGGAGCCCGUAUUUUUCUUUUUACAAAAACCAUAUUUGAUUUAAAAAAAAUCUGAAAAAAUACACAUGAACCUAGGGAUAUAUAUUACAUCUCUGUAAACUUUCAUGAUGAAAGACGUCCUGUUUUUUUUUUAUACAGCUCACACCAAAACGUAUUUGAGCAUGAAACUUUACAAGAAUGUACUCCCUUUGUAAACUAAUAUAAGAUUUUCAUGUGUAUUUGUUUUCAGAAUUUUUUAAAAUUUAAAAUAUGAUUUUCGAAAUUUUAAGGAACAGGGCUCUAUGAAGCUCGGGAGCAAGAAAUCCACUCGCAAAAUCACAUGCUUUUACAGUUCUCUUUUAUAUCAACGGUAUCAAUGUUAACAUGUGAAAAAAGUGAUAUUGAGGGUCAGAGAGUGAGAGUGUCAACAGAAUUCUAUUUUCUCAUAUAUCAGUUAUGGUAGCCAAACGUGCUUUGCACGUACUCAUACCUAGUCGAUGUGAAGACAAUGGCGUCUUCUGGGGAUCUUGCAUCCAUUGAAUCUUCCAAACUCUGGCUAUUUCAUUCUAUAUGAAAAAUCCGGUAAGCCAUGUUCCAUAUGGAUAAGAUAUGGAGAAAUUGAAAAAAAGGAGCUAUGGGUAAAAAGGGAAAAGUGCUUAUUUGCAGAAAGCAACAGGAUCCAGAAACAUGAUACGUCAAGAUGUGAUGUAGAUGGGGGCUGCUUCAACCGAACCACAAUGGUUAAUAAGCACAGAGCCGCACAGCUUUGGGUUCCCACCAAAACUAGAAUUUUGAAAUGUGCUCAGCUGGCCUCUUGUUGGAAUAGGUCCUUCUAGGUUAUUGUUUGAUAUGUUGAAUUGCGAAAGGAAGUGAAGGUUCUCCAAUGCUGCAGGGAUUGCACCCGUCAGAUGAUUAUUAGACAGAUCUAGCCUCUGCAGGUUUGUGAGAUUGCAGAUCGAUUGUGGGAUCUCUCCAUAAAAGUUGUUGGAACUCAAGUUCAUGUAAAGGAGGGCUUUCAGCUGACCGAUCUCUCGUGGGAUCAUGCCUG